AUUGAACGCUGGCGGCAGGCCUAACACACGCAAGUCGAGCGGAUGAAGGGAGCUUGCUCCUGGAUUCAGCGGCGGACGGGUGAGUAAUGCCUAGGAAUCUGCCUGGUAGUGGGGGAUAACGUCCGGAAACGGGCGCUAAUACCGCAUACGUCCUGAGGGAGAAAGUGGGGGAUCUUCGGACCUCACGCUAUCAGAUGAGCCUAGGUCGGAUUAGCUAGUUGGUGGGGUAAAGGCCUACCAAGGCGACGAUCCGUAACUGGUCUGAGAGGAUGAUCAGUCACACUGGAACUGAGACACGGUCCAGACUCCUACGGGAGGCAGCAGUGGGGAAUAUUGGACAAUGGGCGAAAGCCUGAUCCAGCCAUGCCGCGUGUGUGAAGAAGGUCUUCGGAUUGUAAAGCACUUUAAGUUGGGAGGAAGGGCAAUAAGUUAAUACCUUGCUGUUUUGACGUUACCAACAGAAUAAGCACCGGCUAACUUCGUG
rnacentral:rRNA from 1 species